AGCACAUAGAGUCAGACGCAUGAAAUAAAAUGUUUGGAGGUUUUAAGGUGUGUUUUUUAAUUCUUUUAAGUUUAUCUUUGGAAGUGUAUUCAAUAGAAUCGGGUAUUUGGGUAACUAAUAAUUUACAAUGCUACGUAGAUCAUAAAUGUAUAAUUCCCCCAAAGUUUGACUGUUACAGUAGUGAUCACUAUAAGCAUUCUCGUAAUGGUACGCAUGUUUCCUUUUUUAUAUAUGGUAUUGGUCAAUGUAAUGCCUUAAUUGAGGAUGUUAAGAAAAUAGCAAGCAAUUGUGUUUCCGUAUAUCCAUAUCUUGUGACAGGACCUUCACGAAGUGGUACUAAUUUAACGGGAGGAAAUCUUAAAGUUAAUGAUACCUUUAACUAGAAAAAUGAUUUUAUUUUCACGUUUAUUUCUUUACUAAUAUAAACCUUUUCUUUAACUACUUGUAUUUUAUUGUAAUUGUUAAUGUACUAUUGCGUGUCUUCAUAGUUAUUUAUAACUACACUUAUAUUUACGUCAAAGUUUCAUUUCGCGUUUGUACACAGACAGAAUCAGUCACAUUAAAGAAAAUGUUUGGUGGUUUUAAGAUAUGUUUCUUAAUUUUUUUAAGUUUAUCUUUGGAAGUGAGUUCAAUAAAAUCCAAUAUUUUUGUAACUGAUAAUUUAAGAUGUUACGUAGAUCAUAAAUAUAUAAUUCCACCAAAGUUUGACUGCCACAAAUCUGAUGAUCGCAACUAUUCUAAUAAUGGUACGCAUGUUUCUUUUUAUAUAAAUAGUAUUGGUCAAUGUAGUGCUUUAAUUGAGGAUGUUAAGGAAAAAGCAAGCGAAUGUGAUCCUAUAUUUGCAUAUUUUAUAAUAGGACAUUGUAAGACAAUUUAAAAUUAUAAUUAUUUAUAAGUAAAAUUUAUGCUGUAAUUGAGCAAAAAAAUUUUUUUAAUAAUACAGAUUCUUGGUAAUGUUAUAAACGAAUAUCUAUUUUUUUUUUGUUUUAGCACGAAGUGGUACGAAUUUAACGGGAGCAUAUCUUAAAGUUAAUGAUACCUUUAAUUAACAAUAUGAUUUUAACAUUUAUUUGUUUAUCAAUAUAAACCUUUUCUUUAACUAUA